rnacentral:snoRNA from 1 species
GCCUCCUACUGCUUACCACAGUCUGUGUUCUUAUAUUGACUGUAUAGAAAAUAGAAGAAAAGUAAACCUACCCCAUGUACACCUCAGCCUAGGCCACUGUGCCUGGUCUAUAUUGUGAAUAAGGAGAUACAG